ACUUACAGCUUUACCACCCUGAGCACACCUAAACUUGUGUGAUCCUAAAAGCUAAGCAGGGUUGGGCCUGGUUAGCACUUGGAUGGGAAUUUGCCUGGGAAUACCAGGUGCUGUAAGCU
ensembl:rRNA 5S_rRNA 5S ribosomal RNA